rnacentral:rRNA from 1 species
AUUGAACGCUGGCGGCAUGCUUUACACAUGCAAGUCGAACGGUAACAGGGAGCUUGCUCCGCUGACGAGUGGCGAACGGGUGAGUAAUAUAUCGGAACGUACCCAAGAGUGGGGGAUAACGUAGCGAAAGUUACGCUAAUACCGCAUACGAUCUAAGGAUGAAAGCAGGGGAUCUUCGGACCUUGUGCUCCUGGAGCGGCCGAUAUCUGAUUAGCUAGUUGGUGAGGUAAAGGCUCACCAAGGCGACGAUCAGUAGCAGGUCUGAGAGGACGACCAGCCACACUGGAACUGAGACACGGUCAAGACUCCUACGGGAGGCAGCAGUGGGGAAGUUUGGACAAUGGGCGCAAGCCUGACCCAGCAAUGCCGCGUGAGUGAAGAAGGCCUUCGGGUUGUAAAGCUCUUUUGUCAAGGAAGAAACGGGAGUGGCUAAUAUCCAUUCCUAAUGACGGUACCUGAAGAAUAAGCACCGGCUAACUACGUGCCAGCCGCCGCCGUAACAC